UGGGGAAUAUUGGACAAUGGGCGCAAGCCUGAUCCAGCCAUGCCGCGUGCGGGAAGAAGGCCUUCGGGUUGUAAACCGCUUUUGUCAGGGAAGAAACGCUCUGGGCUAAUACCCUGGGGUAAUGACGGUACCUGAAGAAUAAGCACCGGCUAACUACGUGCCAGCAGCCGCGGUAAUACGUAGGGUGCAAGCGUUAAUCGGAAUUACUGGGCGUAAAGCGUGCGCAGGCGGUUAUGCAAGACAGAUGUGAAAUCCCCGGGCUCAACCUGGGAACUGCAUUUGUGACUGUAUAGCUAGAGUACGGUAGAGGGGGAUGGAAUUCCGCGUGUAGCAGUGAAAUGCGUAGAUAUGCGGAGGAACACCGAUGGCGAAGGCAAUCCCCUGGACCUGUACUGACGCUCAUGCACGAAAGCGUGGGGAGCAAACAGGAUUAGAUACCCGGGUAGUCCCUGAGCGGGCUGGCAAGGCGCAU
rnacentral:rRNA from 1 species